GCGGAAGCUGGCUCCUCCUGCUAAGCAAGAUAAUAAACAUUCUCCCCGUAAUAACUUAUAUGCGCACUCUUCAUCACCUGACAGUACAGGUUUUGGAAGGACAUUGUCAAAAAAAUCCUUGGACAUGGCUAUGAGGCACAUGGAUAUAAGGCAAAGCAUCUCCGGAAAUCUGCGUCCAUCAAUGACUAAUAUUCCAGCAUCCUCCAUGUACAGUGUAAGAUCAGGACCUAACAGAACCAGGACAGUGAGUGUAUCCGACUCCCCACUUGCUACGAGCAGCAAUGCUAGUUCUGAAGUGAGUGUGAAUAACAAUACAACGUGUCUUGAUGGGAGUGAAGUUGAUGAUGCUAUUAGCGGCG
rnacentral:misc_RNA from 1 species